rnacentral:Y_RNA from 1 species
GGCCGGUCUGAAGGUAGUGAGUUACCACAACUGAUUGUUCACAGUCAGUUACAGAGCAGUCUUCUUCUUCUACUCCUUCCCCCCUUCUCACUUCUAUACUUGACUCAUCUUAA